UCGAACGGGUAGUAGCAAUACUACUAGUGGCGCACGGGUGCGUAACGCGUAACCAAUCUGCCCUGAACUGGGGGAUAGCCCGCCGAAAGGCGGAUUAAUACCGCAUAAUACUACGAUUCGGCAUCGUUUUGUAGUUAAAGAUUUAUUGGUUCAGGAUGAGGUUGCGUGCCAUUAGCUAGUUGGCGGGGUAACGGCCCACCAAGGCGACGAUGGCUANGGGACCUGAGAGGGUGAUCCCCCACACUGGCACUGAGAUACGGGCCAGACUCCUACGGGAGGCAGCAGUAGGGAAUAUUGGGCAAUGGACGAGAGUCUGACCCAGCCAUGCCGCGUGCCGGAUGAAGGCCUUCUGGGUUGUAAACGGCUUUUCUCAGGGAAGAAAAAGACCAUGCGUGGUACACUGACGGUACCUGAGGAAUAAGCACCGGCUAACUCCGUGCCAGCAGCCGCGGUAAUACAGAGGGUGCAAGCGUUGUCCGGAUUUAUUGGGUUUAAAGGGUGCGUAGGCGGCUUGUUAAGUCCGGGGUGAAAGCCCACAGCUCAACUGUGGAACUGCCCUGGAUACUGGCAAGCUUGAGUCCAGACGAGGUUGGCGGAAUGGAAGGUGUAGCGGUGAAAUGCAUAGAUACCUUCCAGAACCCCGAUUGCGUAGGCAGCUGACUAGGCUGGUACUGACGCUGAGGCACGAAAGCGUGGGGAGCGAACAGGAUUAGAUACCCUGGUAGUCCACGCCGUAAACGAUGGAUACUCGCUGUAGCGAUAUACAGUUACU
rnacentral:rRNA from 1 species